rnacentral:misc_RNA from 1 species
GAUGAAGAACGUAGCGAAAUGCGAUAAGUAAUGUGAAUUGCAGAAUUCAGUGAAUCAUCGAAUCUUUGAACGCACAUUGCGCCCGUCAGUAUUCUGGCGGGCAUGCCUGUUCGAGCGUCAUUACGCCCCUCAAGUCCCCUGUGGACUUGGUGUUGGGGAUCGGCGAGGCUGGUUUUCCAGCACAGCCGUCCCUUAAAUUAAUUGGCGGUCUCGCCGUGGCCCUCCUCUGCGCAGUAGUAAAACACUCGCAACAGGAGCCCGGCGCGGUCCACUGCCGUAAAACCCCCCAACUUUUUAUCGUUGACCUCGAAUCAGGUAGGACUACCCGCUGAACUUAAGCAUAUCAAUAAGCGGAGGA